rnacentral:rRNA from 1 species
UACACCAUUAGGUGUAGUGGUAGGAGAGCGUUCUAAGGGCGUUGAAGGUCGAUCGUGAGGACGGCUGGAGCGCUUAGAAGUGAGAAUGCCGGUAUGAGUAGCGAAAGACAGGUGAGAAUCCUGUCCACCGUAUGACUAAGGUUUCCUGGGGAAGGCUCGUCCGCCCAGGGUUAGUCGGGACCUAAGCCGAGGCCGAUAGGCGUAGGCGAUGGACAACAGGUUGAUAUUCCUGUACCAGUUGUUUUUGUUUGAGCAAUGGAGGGACGCAGUAGGCUAAGGAAUGCAUGCGAUUGGAAGUGCAUGUCCAAGCAAUGAGUCUUGAGUAGAGUUAAAUGCUUUACUCUUUAAGGACAAGUUGUGACGGGGAGCGAAAUAAUAGUAGCGAAGUUCCUGAUGUCACACUGCCAAGAAAAGCUUCUAGUGAGAAAACAACUGCCCGUACCGUAAACCGACACAGGUAGUCGAGGAGAGUAU